AUUGAACGCUGGCGGCAUGCCUUACACAUGCAAGUCGAACGGCAGCGGACCUUCGGGUGCCGGCGAGUGGCGAACGGGUGAGUAAUAUAUCGGAACGUACCUUUCAGUGGGGGAUAACGUAGCGAAAGUUACGCUAAUACCGCAUAUUCUGUGAGCAGGAAAGCAGGGGAUCGCAAGACCUUGCGCUGAUUGAGCGGCCGAUAUCAGAUUAGCUAGUUGGUGAGGUAAAGGCUCACCAAGGCGACGAUCUGUAGCGGGUCUGAGAGGAUGAUCCGCCACACUGGAACUGAGACACGGUCCAGACUCCUACGGGAGGCAGCAGUGGGGAAUUUUGGACAAUGGGCGCAAGCCUGAUCCAGCCAUGCCGCGUGAGUGAAGAAGGCCUCGGUUGUUAAGCACUUAAGUCGAGGAGGAAGGGUUUAAGUUA
rnacentral:rRNA from 1 species